CCAAUAGCGUAUAUUAAAGUUGUUGCAGUUAAAAAGCUCGUAGUUGAAUUUUGGGAUCAAUGGGUUGGUCAUGCCCUCGGUAUGUACUGAUUUCAUUGGUUCUCACCUUCUAAGGAACCAUGAUGUCAUUCGUUUGAUGUUGUGGGGAAUUAGGACUGUUACCUUGAAAAAAUUAGAGUGUUUAAAGCAGGCUAACGUUUGAAUACAUUAGCAUGGAAUAAUGAAAUAGGACAUCCGAUUCUAUUUUGUUGGUUUUUAGGAUCGAUGUAAUGAUUAAUAGGGAUAGUUGGAGGCAUUAGUAUUCAAUUGUCAGAGGUGAAAUUCUUGGAUUUAUUGAAGACUAACUACUGCGAAAGCAUUUGCCAAGGAUGUUUUCAUUAAUCAAGAACGAAAGUUAGAGGAUCGAAGACGAUCAGAUACCGUCGUAGUCUUAACCAUAAACUAUGCCGACUAGGGAUCGGAUGAUGCUUAUUUUUAAUGACUCAUUCGGCACCUUACG
rnacentral:rRNA from 1 species